rnacentral:rRNA from 1 species
AACCGUCGCCCCAUAGUCUGGGAUACCACUUGGAAACAGGUGCUAAUACCGGAUAAGAAAGCAGAUCGCAUGAUCAGCUUUUAAAAGGCGGCGUAAGCUGUCGCUAUGGGAUGGCCCCGCGGUGCAUUAGCUAGUUGGUAAGGUAAAGGCUUACCAAGGCGAUGAUGCACAGCCGAGUUGAGAGACUGAUCGGCCACAUUGGGACUGAGACACGGCCCAAACUCCUACGGGAGGCAGCAGCG